rnacentral:rRNA from 1 species
GAUGAACGCUGGCGGCGUGCCUAAUACAUGCAAGUCGAGCGAACAGACGAGGAGCUUGCUCCUCUGACGUUAGCGGCGGACGGGUGAGUAACACGUGGAUAACCUACCUAUAAGACUGGGAUAACUUCGGGAAACCGGAGCUAAUACCGGAUAAUAUAUUGAACCGCAUGGUUCAAUAGUGAAAGACGGUUUUGCUGUCACUUAUAGAUGGAUCCGCGCCGCAUUAGCUAGUUGGUAAGGUAACGGCUUACCAAGGCAACGAUGCGUAGCCGACCUGAGAGGGUGAUCGGCCACACUGGAACAGAGACACGGUCCAGACUCCUACGGGAGGCAGCAGUAGGGAAUCUUCCGGAAGGGGCGAAAGCCUGACGGAGCAACGCCGCGUGAGUGAUGAAGGACUUCGGAUCGUAAAACUCUGUUAUUAGGGAAGAACAAAUGUGUAAGUAACUAUGCACGUCUUGACGGUACCUAAUCAGAAAGCCACGGCUAACUACGUG